rnacentral:rRNA from 9 species
UUGCUCUUGUUAGGAGCUUCUACCCGACCGAUUAGCCCAGAGCACUAAUACGCUUUCUUUCCUCGAACAAGUACCUUUCCUUCGUGGGGGUCUUCUGUUCACUCUGACGAUUAGGAUGAAGGAAGUAUAUAGGGAGGUCUGCCAGCCAUUUAAUGAGGAAGGUGGUCUUCAUUUCUCUUGCGUAUGGAAGCUUAAGGUCAUUCCCUGCAUUCCGUUUUUUGGUGGAACCAAUUCACUUGAGUGAGACAGAGAAGAGUGGAAUUUUGUGUGUAGGGGUGAAAUCCGUAGAUCUACGAAGGAACGCCAAAAGCGAAGGCAGUUCUCUGGGUCCCUACCGACGCUGGGGUGCGAAAGCAUGGGGAGCGAACAGGAUUAGAUACCCUGAUAGUCCAUGCCGUAAACAAUGAGUGUUCCCCGUUCGUUGUAAAGGCUAUGAUACCAGGCUUCCAG